UACGGAGGGUGCAAGCGUUAAUCGGAAUCACUGGGCGUAAAGCGCUCGUAGGCUGUUUGGUAAGUCAGGCGUGAAAGCCCGCGGCUUAACCGCGGAACUGCGUUUGAUACUGCCAGACUUGAGUGUCGGAGAGGGUGGCGGAAUUCCGGGUGUAGGAGUGAAAUCCGUAGAUAUCCGGAGGAACACCAGUGGCGAAGGCGGCCACCUGGACGACAACUGACGCUGAGGAGCGAAAGCGUGGGUAGCAAACAGG
rnacentral:rRNA from 1 species